rnacentral:rRNA from 1 species
UGGGGAAUAUUGCACAAUGGGCGCAAGCCUGAUGCAGCCAUGCCGCGUGUAUGAAGAAGGCCUUCGGGUUGUAAAGUACUUUCAGCGGGGAGGAAGGGAGUAAAGUUAAUACCUUUGCUCAUUGACGUUACCCGCAGAAGAAGCACCGGCUAACUCCGUGCCAGCAGCCGCGGUAAUACGGAGGGUGCAAGCGUUAAUCGGAAUUACUGGGCGUAAAGCGCACGCAGGCGGUCUGUCAAGUCGGAUGUGAAAUCCCCGGGCUCAACUUGGGAACUGCAUCUGAUACUGGCAAGCUUGAGUCUCGUAGAGGGGGGUAGAAUUCCAGGUGUAGCGAUGAAAUGCGUAGAGAUCUGGAGGAAUACCGGUGGCGAAGGCGGCCCCCUGGACGAAGACUGACGCUCAGGUGCGAAAGCGUGGGGAGCAAACAGG